rnacentral:rRNA from 14 species
AUCGAUGGGUAUACCACUCUGAAUGCAUCCAAUCUAGGAAGCUAAGUAGGGCUGGGUCUGGUUGGGACUUGGACUGGAGAAGGGGAAGAUUAGCAUCCAUGCUA